CGGGUGAGUAACACGUGGGUAACCUGCCCAUCAGAAGGGGAUAACACUUGGAAACAGGUGCUAAUUCCGUAUAACAGGUAAAACCGCAUGGUUUUACUUUGAAAGGCGCUUUUGCGUCACUGAUGGAUGGACCCGCGGUGCAUUAGCUAGUUGGUGAGGUAACGGCUCACCAAGGCAGCGAUGCAUAGCCGACUUGAGAGGGUGAUCGGCCACAUUGGGACUGAGACACGGCCCAAACUCCUACGGGAGGCAGCAGUAGGGAAUCUUCGGCAAUGGACGAAAGUCUGACCGAGCAACGCCGCGUGAGUGAAGAAGGUUUUCGGAUCGUAAAACUCUGUUGUUAGAGAAGAACAAGGAUGAGAGUAAAAUGUUCAUCCCUUGACGGUAUCUAACCAGAAAGCCACGGCUAACUACGUGCCAGCAGCCGCGGUAAUACGUAGGUGGCAAGCGUUGUCCGGAUUUAUUGGGCGUAAAGCGAGCGCAGGCGGUUUCUUAAGUCUGAUGUGAAAGCCCCCGGCUCAACCGGGGAGGGUCAUUGGAAACUGGGAAACUUGAGUGCAGAAGAGGAGAGUGGAAUUCCAUGUGUAGCGGUGAAAUGCGUAGAUAUAUGGAGGAACACCAGUGGCGAAGGCGGCUCUCUGGUCUGUAACUGACGCUGAGGCUCGAAAAGACGGG
rnacentral:rRNA from 1 species